ACGUUCGGGAAGGGUAACCGCUGAAAGCAUCUAAGCGGGAAACCAUCUUCAAGAUAAGGUCUCCACAGAACACCUUUGGUGUUCUGGUAGGCCCCCAGCAGACUACUGGGUUGAUAGGCCAGAAGUGGAAGACCGGCAACGGUCUGUGAGCUGACUGGUACUAAUAGGCCAACACAAACAACAACACCCCCCAAUC
rnacentral:rRNA from 1 species